rnacentral:lncRNA from 1 species
UCGAUAUAUGAAAGUCAGUGUAAGACCUGUCUGGGUUAUAUUGGGAGUAUGGUCCCUUAUGGUUACUUGUAGUUAUUCAUUAUUUGCAUGCGACUUACUAAGCUUUGUGUUUACUUCUUUUCCUUUCCAUAUUCUUAUAGUGCCACCAAAGUAGCUCAUGGAUCAUUGCCUUACGUCGGAGAAGCCAAUCACACUAUCCCUGAAGCACUUCGUAUAGCUAGUUUUAUCAUUUUGAUUAUGGCAUGUAUAGGAACUAGUCUUUUUGUAAUGG